rnacentral:lncRNA from 1 species
CUGAUGUGUGAACUGGAGAUAAAUUAUCCCAGACAUGUCAUGAGUUCUCAGUCAACAAUGGCUAUGACACCACUCAAAGAGAAGAGAGGUCUAUUUUAAAUGGCAGCCUUGAGAUCACAGUUCUUCUGCUAAUUCCUCAACCCCUUUCACCAAUAACUCCCACUCAAUACGCUACAUCCCCAAGUGCACAUAUUUUGGAGAAUCUCAUGCUGAUCAAAAUCUUCUCAAAGUCCUCAGCUCCUCCUACCCCACAGGAAUGCUCCUAUUUGACCAGGUGCUCAAAUCAAUUUGUCUUUGCUGAAACCUCCAGGGGAAAUGUUCUAUACUGGGUCACUUUCUUGAUGCCUGAGAUUUAUUCAAAUGGAUGACACGGAUUCAGUAUUUCUGAAAGUGAGACUUGUGUUUUGGCCAUAGUUGCAGUGGAUUUGAGCUGUUCAUUUUCUCUCGAGUGGUUUCCUUGAGUUCCUUCUGGCUCAAGAAUCACUUUGAAGCUGAUGGAUGAUGUUUUUGCUUACUUAAUAAACUUUGAGCAACUAAUAUGUUUACAGAAUGGCACCAGAAUCUGUG